GAUGAAGAACGUAGCGAAAUGCGAUAAGUAAUGUGAAUUGCAGAAUUCAGUGAAUCAUCGAAUCUUUGAACGCACAUUGCGCCCCUUGGUAUUCCGAGGGGCAUGCCUGUUCGAGCGUCAUUUCAACCCUCAAGCACAGCUUGGUCUUGGGCUUCGCCGCUAACCCGGCGGGUCUUAAAAUCAGUGGCGGUGCCGUCGGGCCCUGAGCGCAGUAAUCUCUCUCGCUAUAGGGUCCCGGCGGAUGCUGGCCAGUGACCCCCAAUUUUCUAUGGUUGACCUCGGAUCAGGUAGGGAUACCCGCUGAACUUAAGCAUAUCAAUAAGCGGAGGA
rnacentral:misc_RNA from 1 species